CGUAGGGUGCGAGCGUUAAUCGGAAUUACUGGGCGUAAAGCGUGCGCAGGCGGUUUGUUACGAUAGGCGUGAAAUCCCCGGGCUCAACCUGGGAACUGCGCUUAUGACUGGCAAGCUAGAGUACGGCAGAGGGGGGUGGAAUUCCACGUGUAGCAGUGAAAUGCGUAGAGAUGUGGAGGAACACCAAUGGCGAAGGCAGCCCCCUGGGUCGAUACUGACGCUCAUGCACGAAAGCGUGGGUAGCAAACAGGAUUAGAUACCCUGGUAGUCCACGCCCUAAACGAUGUCAACUAGGUGUUGGGAGGGUAAAACCUUUUAGUACCGGAGCUAACGCGUGAAGUUGACCGCCUGGGGAGUACGGCCGCAAGGUUA
rnacentral:rRNA from 1 species